UACAGAGGGUGCGAGCGUUGUCCGGAAUUAUUGGGCGUAAAGAGCUCGUAGGCGGUCUGUCGCGUCGAUCGUGAAAACUUGGGGCUUAACCCUGAGCUUGCGGUCGAUACGGGCAUGACUGGAGUUCGGCAGGGGAGACUGGAAUUCCUGGUGUAGCGGUGAAAUGCGCAGAUAUCAGGAGGAACACCGGUGGCGAAGGCGGGUCUCUGGGCCGAUACUGACGCUGAGGAGCGAAAGCGUGGGGAGCGAACAGG
rnacentral:rRNA from 1 species